rnacentral:rRNA from 1 species
UGAGGAAUAUUGGUCAAUGGUCGGAAGACUGAACCAGCCAUGCCGCGUGAAGGUCAGUGCCCUAUGGGCGUUAAACUUCUUUUGUGUGAGAGCAAUAAGGAUCUCGUGAGGUCCGAUGAGAGUAUCACACGAAUAAGCAUCGGCUAACUCCGUGCCAGCAGCCGCGGUAAUACGGGGGAUGCGAGCGUUAUCCGGAUUUAUUGGGUUUAAAGGGUGCGUAGGCGGCCUGUUAAGUCAGCGGUGAAAUAUCCUCGCUCAACGAGGAGACUGCCGUUGAUACUGGUGGGCUUGAAUGCGGAUGCCGUUGGAGGAAUGUGUGGUGUAGCGGUGAAAUGCAUAGAUAUCACACAGAACACCGAUUGCGAAGGCAUCUGACGAAUCCGCGAUUGACGCUGAUGCACGAAAGCGUGGGUAUCAAACAGG